UACGUAGGGGGCAAGCGUUGUCCGGAAUCAUUGGGCGUAAAGAGCGUGUAGGCGGCUCGGUAAGUCCGCUGUGAAAGUCCAGGGCUCAACCCUGGAAUGCCGGUGGAAACUGGCGAGCUUGAGUACGAAAGAGGAUCGCGGAAUUCCCGGUGUAGAGGUGAAAUUCGUAGAUAUCGGGAGGAACACCGGUGGCGAAGGCGGCGAUCUGGGUCGAUACUGACGCUGAGGUGCGAAAGCGUGGGAGCAAACAGG
rnacentral:rRNA from 1 species